UACGUAGGGAGCGAGCGUUAUCCGGAUUUAUUGGGCGUAAAGGGUGCGUAGGCGGUUUAUUAAGUAUGAAAUUAAAGCCUGGAGCUUAACUCCAGUUCGUUUCAUAAACUGGUAGACUUGAGUAUGGCAGAGGUAAACGGAACUUUUAGUGUAGCGGUGAAAUGCGUAGAUAUUAGAAGGAACACCAGUGGCGAAGGCGGUUUACUGGGCCAUUACUGACGCUGAGGCACGAAGGCGUGGGUAGCAAAUA
rnacentral:rRNA from 1 species